rnacentral:rRNA from 1 species
UACAGAGGUCUCGAGCGUUACUCGGAUUCAUUGGGCUUAAAGCGUACGUAGGCGGAUGUGCAGGCAUCGUGUGAAAUCCCCUGGCUCAACCAGGGAACUGCUCGGUGAACCGCACGUCUUGAGGCAAGUAGAGGCUGUCGGAACGAUAGGUGGAGCGGUGAAAUGCGUAGAUAUCUAUCGGAACGCCGAAGGUGAAAACAGGCAGCUGGGCUUGAUCUGACGCUGAGGUACGAAAGCGUGGGGAGCGAACGGG